ensembl:lncRNA
CGGGAUCCCAGUUCACUAUCCCUUGGAUUAUGCGGCUGAACACAGGUACCUAUGCCUGUCUGGCUCAGAACACAUACCUCAACACCCGCACUCGCAAGACCAUCAGCCUCACCGUCUUCUACCCUCCAGAUGGUUCCCCCUCCUGCUCUGUUCUGCCAGCAAUGAACUACUCCUCCCUCAACCUGACCUGUUCAUGGCCGGGGGGCCUGCCCUCCCCUUCACUACGCUGGACCACAAACCUUCUGUCCCUGGCACAGGGAGGGGCGUGGCCAGCCAACAAUGUCUCCGUACUGCAGUCUGGAUCCCAGACCUCCAACAACUCUCUGUUCACCUGCCUGGGGAUACACCCUGCUCUCAACACCUCCACACAAUGCACUGCACGGGCCUGGUCUCCUUAUAGUGAGCCAGUGUGUUCUGCUUAUGCCACCGGUAAGAACCAAUACCUGCUGCUGUCCUGCUCCUGGGAAGGUGGGUCUCCCAGGUCCAUAGUGUGGUGGGAGGGGCCUAAAGGAGAGGGCAGGGGCCAAGGAGUGGAGACCUCUAACAUCCUGGUACUUCGUUCUAACUCCACCCAGAACGGACAGGCCUACACCUGCUACGCCAAACACCCCCUGGACACACACACCAGGACUUGCAGCCUUAGACUGGAGGCUCCAGUCUUGUUGACCCAGCGUAGUGUGGUGUCUGUGUUUGAGGGCAGUGAUGUCCAGCUCACCUGUAUCCUGCAAGCUAACUAUCCUCCGGUCAAUCAGAUUGUCUGGUUCAACAACCGCAGACAGGAAGUCAUACAGGAAGUCCAGGAAGCCCUGGCCACAACCAGGAAGUAUGUGCUGCGUCGCGCAGCUGCGUGGACCAACCUGACGGUCCUAGAGACGGAUGGAACAACAGACAACGGCCAAUACUGGUGCUCCGCUAGCAACGCUGUGGGAGGGACUGAGAUCCCUGUUACGCUACUGGUCAAGAGAUACCCCAUGCCUCCCAAUGUGACCCUGGUAAGGCUUGUUUACAGCAGUCGGCAGCGCAGAGAGGUGGAGCUGGAGUGGCAGAUGGAGGGAGAGGGAGAAGGAGGAGAGGGAGGAGGGCUGACUGGAUUUAUACUUGAGCGCAGACUAGAGGAGGCACCAGGGAGAAGGAGAGGAGAGGAGGAAAAAGAGAAGGACAGAGAGGAGGCUGGUGCAGAUCCUGCUGACCAAGAGGAGCAGCGACAGGAAAAAAGGAGUAGUUUCUCUCCAUGGAAGCAGGUGGUUGUAUUGGAAGCCAGGGAGAGGGUCCACACGCUGGGCAACAUGACCCCAACAGAUACCUACCAGAUACGCAUCACAGCUGUCAAUCACAGAACCCUCGGACACCCAUCCCCCCCAGAAACACCAGCGGACCCUCCCUUCAGUGCGUACCCUGCUGUGAUUGGAGCUGCCAUUGGAGGGAUGCUCAUCACGACCAUAGCAACUGUUCUGCUGUUCAUGUACAUAUUCCGCAACUGCAACAACAACCCCAGCAGCACAGCUGGUCCAGGGAGAACAUCAACCUCCCUGAUGAUGAGGUGAUGGGAGGAGUUGACGGAGAGGGAGGAGCUACAGAACAUUGCCCCUCCCCUAGCCCAGGUCACGUCCAUGUCCUCUCCUAGGGCUGCCUCCCCCGUCUCCCCUCCUCUAACUGCUGAGGACAACGAACCUGUCAACGUCACCAUCACCGUCAUGGCAACGGGCUGAAGAUCACACACACAUCCAUACAUACUGGAUAAUGCUGCGUUCAUAACAAGUGGAAACUCUGUAAAUACAAUUUGUAUUAAAAGUACAGCUGUCAUGCUCAAAAACAUUAUAGUGUUCAAAUACCAUACUAAUAGAUUAUUUUUCAAAAAUAAUGAUUUGCUGUUGCAUUUAACUUCCAAAAAUGCUGUUAUCAAGGUAAUUUCCUUAGUAUGUGAUGUCAGAGUUCAGCAUGUGGGAGAAGUCGAAGCUCAGAGAUGAUAGACGAGUUUCCCACUAGUAAUUACCAGUUGGAAGGGCAUGCAAGUGUAUUUUUCCAAGUCAUAUGCUGGUAUUUACAAAUAUAGGAGAUGGUGUGAAUGAAG